rnacentral:rRNA from 1 species
UGGGGAAUAUUGGACAAUGGGGGGAACCCUGAUCCAGCGAUGCCGCGUGAGUGAAGAAGGCCUUCGGGUUGUAAAGCUCUUUAGGUUAGGAAGAAGUGUAGGGUAACCUACAUUGACGGUACUAACAGAAUAAGCACCGGCAAACUCUGUGCCAGCAGCCGCGGUAAUACAGAGGGUGCGAGCGUUAAUCGGAGUUACUGGGCGUAAAGGGCGCGUAGGCGGUGACAUGGGUGAGAUGUGAAAGCCCUGGGCUUAACCUGGGAAGUGCAUUUCAAACUAUGUUGCUGGAGUAUGAGAGAGGGUGGCGGAAUUUCCGGUGUAGCGGUGAAAUGCGUAGAUAUCGGAAGGAACGUCGAUGGCGAAGGCAACCACCUGGCUUAAUACUGACGCUGAGGCGCGAGAGCGUGGGUAGCGAACAG